UCAGCCUGCUUCAUCAUUGAUAUUGACAGUCAAUUUUAUGAGAUUUUCCAUGAUCAUCUUCUAACUUUCACAGCCCCGGUGGCCGAAUGGGUAAUGCGGCCACCUGGUAGCGCCUUGGCGUGGGGACCCAAGGCGCGUGGGUUUGAAACCCGCAGGGGACAACAUUACAUCCGGAGCCAACUUCUCAGCUCCUAAAAUAAUGGGAUGUGAACCUGCCAAGUAGGUACCUUCAGGCGGACCUACUACUUGAUUUAGCUGAUUUUUCCUGGGCUGGGAACCUGUAUUGCAUGUACCAAAUCCUGUCUUUCAUUAAUUGUCCUAUGUUCCUGUUAUAUUCUUGGCAUUGUUCAACACUAAGCAUUCCUUCUGUAUAACCAACUCUUGCCUGUAUUUAACAUCACACAAGAACUUGUCAUAAGCACUGCUUAUAUACGAGUAUAAUGGAAGAAUAAUAAUAAUAAUAAUAAUAAUAACAUCUUAA
rnacentral:sRNA from 1 species